AAUGAACGCUGGCGGCAUGGAUUAGGCAUGCAAGUCGAGCGAGAAGUGUAGCAAUACACGGAAAGCGGCGGAAGGGAGAGUAAUACGUGGGAAUCUGCCCUUAGACCUGGGAUAGCAGCGGGAAACUGCUGGUAAUACCAGAUAAUGUCUAUGGACCAAAGGUGUGAUUCCGUCUAGGGAUGAGCCCACGUCCUAUCAGCUAGUUGGUAGGGUAAUGGCCUACCAAGGCGAUGAUGGGUAGCGGGUGUGAGAGCAUGACCCGCCUCACUGGGACUGAGACACUGCCCAGACACCUACGGGUGGCUGCAGUCGAGAAUCUUCGGCAAUGGGCGCAAGCCUGACCGAGCGAUGCCGCGUGCGGGAUGAAGGCCUUCGGGUUGUAAACCGCUGUCGAGGGGGAGCAACUUCCAUAGAGUUAUCUUUAUGGAUUGAGUGAUCCCUGGAGGAAGGACGGGCUAAGUUCGUGCCAGCCGCCGCAGUAAAAC
rnacentral:rRNA from 1 species